rnacentral:rRNA from 1 species
AACGCGAAGAACCUUACCCACCUUUGACAUGUACGGAAUUCGCCAGAGAUGGCUUAGUGCUCGAAAGAGAACCGUAACACAGGUGCUGCAUGGCUGUCGUCAGCUCGUGUCGUGAGAUGUUGGGUUAAGUCCCGCAACGAGCGCAACCCUUGUCAUUAGUUGCUACAUUCAGUUGGGCACUCUAAUGAGACUGCCGGUGACAAACCGGAGGAGAGUGGGGAUGAAGUCAAGUCCUCAUGGCCCUUAUAGGUGGGGCUACACACGUCAUAAAAUGGCUGAUACAAAGGGUUGCCAACCCGCGAGGGGGAGCUAAUCCCAUAAAACCAGUCGUAGUCCGGAUCGCAGUCUGCAACUCGACUGCGUGAAGUCGGAAUCGCUAGUAAUCGUGGAUCAGAAUGUCACGGUGAAUACGUUCCCGGGUCUUGUACACACCG